rnacentral:lncRNA from 1 species
CUCAAAACCAAGGUGAAGAGUUGGCAGUGUGACCCUUGAAGAGGUUUCAAGUUAGCCUGGAGUAGCCAGUAUUUUCCACUCCCAAUCAGGAAUUAACUUUGGAAUCUUCCAUAAGUGUAGAGAAGCUGGGGGCACCCUGAGUAAGUACUACUUCAAGACAAACCAGAACAAGAUGGCCUUGCACUGAGAGAGAGAGAGAGACAGAGAGAGAGAGAGAGAGAGAGAGAGAGAGAGAGAGAGAGAGAGAGGUAUAGGUAAGAAGUAAAUACAACUGGAAACAUAUUUUUAGUUAGGAAAAAUUUUGCAAGAUGCCCUGUUUAUAAAACAGAAAAUUAGAGAUAACAGAAUUUUUCUCAGAAUGCUAAAAUCAAUAUGCAAUGAAGAUAACAUACUAAAUGAUACGCUGCUGAUCACUAUUUCUGCAGAAGGACAGCUCAAGCUCACAAGAAGAUGGCAUUCGGGUUUUCUGCGUGUUCAAGGAGAUCUGCUGUGCCUCUGGAAAGGGAUUUAUGGCUAGGGGACAACUGGCUGCUGGGCUCUGGUGGCUGCUAGUGCUGAGACCCUGAGAAGCCCAGCAUUUUCCUGCUUUCCACAAUGUCACCUCAAUUUGAAAAUACUGAGAUUUAGUUAGAUGAACGGGAAGAUAUAUUUUAUAUUCCAGUUUCUCCUCUCCUUUGAAGUUAGUUUUAUGUUGUAGGAAUUUGAAAGAGCAUUAUUUUUUUCUGGAGUGAGAUAUUAUACACAAAUAAUGAAAGUGCUCUCUCUCAUGUGGUGGAACAAUGUCAACAAUACCUCUUUUUAAGACCAUGCUAAGAAGGCCUCUUUCUAGCCAGGAAGUUGUAAAAAUAAUACCAUAAUAGGAUUAUGUGUUUGAAGGACAGUACCAUUCCUUCCUUAAUUUAAGGUGACUAAAAGAUCUAAAUCACAACCAUGAGCCCCAUUGGCUGGAAACUCAUGUCCACAUGUCAUCCCGGCUAAGGAUCAAGCCAGGUGUUCGGCUUUGGUCCAGCAAGGAAGGAAUAAAAUCCUGGAUCACAUUGAGCCUGUUCUCCCUGUUCCAGGAGCAAUGCUUCCAUGGCUCUUCCCUGUUUAUUGACCGGAGUCACCUGGAGCUCGAGUCUGCUGGGCUUUACUGAUUCAUUCCCUACUAUGGUAGCACCCUCUCCGAGGCUCUGCAUUCCCAAUAAAAGCUUG